AGAGGCAUUGAACAUCCUCUGCCUGCCCAUCACUGAGUCCACAAAGACUUGUGACUGUCCUGUGCCAGGCAUGGAAGGAGAGCUGAAGACAAAGGAAUAAGCCAAACAACAAGAGCUGCAAAUAAAAGGUUGGAACUCUAACCUGCAUAUUACUGAAAUGAGGCUUUUCUAGGUAGACAAGGUAGAAAAGAGAAUUCCAAGGAGAUAGAAUCACUUAUGCAAAAGCAAAUAGGUCUAAGAAAAGGAACCUGAAAAUCAAGGGGAACAGGAUGCGAUGAGAAAAAAAACAUCCCCUGAGGAGCAGCUUGGGAAAGGUCUUGAAUGUCCCAAACAGAGACUUCCUGGAAGUGAUGGGGGCACUUGGAGGAUUUUCAAUGGAGGAGGGAUGAGAUCAGAUGAAGUUCUUUGAAAGGCCGCUGGCUGGCCAUGGGCAGCAACUGGAAAGAUGGCAGAUACGGAGCCUCUGCCUUCCACCAGCCAGCCGCCUCCCAUCGCCCCUCCUGGAACCACAAGAGAUACAUUCUUUACAAACAGCCUGCUCGCCAACCCGGCCCUUAUCUCAGUCUGCUUUUCAGCUUAAAAGAAGUUUCUGAAAGCCCUCUUUGGAAAACAGCCUCUCUGACUGCAAUAAUAUACAGGUCUGAUGACCAAGGAGGAUUGGUCACCCCAUAGGUGAGGGGGGAGAUUUCUGCACCAUCUUCUGCUGCUGUGGAGAGGACCCCAAUUCCUCAUCAGAAAACCUGGGCUCAGCUUUGUUCCAAGACAUGCGAGCCAGUCCGUGAGGAUGAAGAGGAUGUUUGUGGUCCAGCCAGAAUGUUUGGUUUGAAUGUGACAUGUCCCCAAAAGCUCCUGAGACCAUGUAACAAUGUUCAGAGAUGAAAUGGGUAGAUUAUAAAAGCAAAAACCUAAUCAAUGUGUUAUCCUUUUGAUGGAUUGAUAAUUUGAAAGUGCUACUAUACUAAGUGGUAGCUAUAGGCAGGUGGGGUGUGGCUAAAGGAGAUGUAUCUCUCUCCUCCUCCUCUCCCUCCUCUUCCUCCUCCCCCCCCUCCUCCUCCUCC